rnacentral:tRNA from 1 species
GCGCCUGUAGCUCAACUGGAUAGAGCAAUGGCCUACGGAGCCAUAGGUUGCAGGUUCGAAUCCUGCCAGGCGUGCUA